ensembl:snRNA U6 U6 spliceosomal RNA
GUGCUUCUUUUGGCAGUAUAUAUACUAAAAUUGAAGUGAUACAGAGAAGAUUAGCAUGACCCCUUCACAGGAAUGACACAUAAAUUUGUGAAGUGUUCCAUAUUUUA